rnacentral:misc_RNA from 1 species
AAGUCGUAACAAGGUUUCCGUAGGUGAACCUGCGGAAGGAUCAUUAACACAAAACCAAGAAGAGACCAUAGAAAUAUGUGUCUCAUCUUACUAUCCAACCGUGGUCUUGUUUUGUACCUCUGCAAAGAGGCUUAUCCAUGAGUGUCAAUAGGACCGAUGUGAAUCCCGGAGUAAAUAUCUAGGGGCAUUCGUGGCCUUUUCAUUCCAUUUUCUGAUCGAUUUAUACCUGCACUGAUACCCAUAUGCACACGAAAGUGUGUGUAUGUUUAUUGACCUCGUGUCAAUGAAACCAUAUACAACUCGUAACAACGGAUCUCUCGGCUAAU